rnacentral:rRNA from 1 species
GAUGAACGCUGGCGGCGUGCUUAACACAUGCAAGUCGAACGAUGAAGCCCAGCUUGCUGGGUGGCUUAGUGGCGAACGGGUGAGUAACACGUGAGUAACCUGCCCUUAACUCUGGGAUAAGCCUGGGAAACUGGGUCUAAUACCGGAUAGGAGCGUCCACCGCAUGGUGGGUGUUGGAAAGAUUUAUCGGUUUUGGAUGGACUCGCGGCCUAUCAGCUUGUUGGUGAGGUAAUGGCUCACCAAGGCGACGACGGGUAGCCGGCCUGAGAGGGUGACCGGCCACACUGGGACUGAGACACGGCCCAGACUCCUACGGGAGGCAGCAGUGGGGAAUCUUGCGCAAUGGGCGAAAGCCUGACGCAGCCAUGCCGCGUGAAUGAUGAAGGUCUUAGGAUUGUAAAAUUCUUUCACCGGGGACGAUAAUGACGGUACCCGGAGAAGAAGCCCCGGCUAACUUCGUG